GACGAACGCUGGCGGCGUGCUUAACACAUGCAAGUCGAACGGAAAGGCCCUGCUUUUGUGGGGUGCUCGAGUGGCGAACGGGUGAGUAACACGUGAGUAACCUGCCCUUGACUUUGGGAUAACUUCAGGAAACUGGGGCUAAUACCGGAUAGGAGCUCCUGUUGCAUGGUGUGGGCUGGAAAGUUUCGGCGGUUGGGGAUGGACGCGCGGCUUAUCAGCUUGUUGGUGGGGUAGGGGCUUACCAAGGAUUGGGCGGGUAGCCGGCCUGAGAGGGUGACCGGCCACAUUGGGCCUGGGGUGCGGCCCGGACUACUACGGGGGGCAGCGGUGGAGAAUAUUGCGCAAUAGGCCGAAGCCUGAUGCAGCAACGCCGCGUGCGGGAUGUCGGCCUUCGGGUUGUAAACCGCUUUCGCCUGUGACGAAGCGUGAGUGACGGUAAUGGGUAAAGAAGCACCGGCUAACUACGUG
rnacentral:rRNA from 1 species